rnacentral:rRNA from 1 species
GUUUCAUUUUAAUUUAUAUUAGAAUUUUAUUUUUUAGUUAAAAAGCUAAAAUUUUAUUAAAAGACGAGAAGACCCUAUAAAUCUUUAUAUUUAUUUUUAUUUUAAUUUAUAAAGAUAUAUUUUAUUAUAAUUAGAAUAAAUAUUUUAUUGGGGUGAUAUUAAAAUUUAAAUAACUUUUAAUUUUUAAAUUACAUUAAUUUUUGAAUUAUUGAUCCAUUAAUAAUGAUUAAAAAAUUAAGUUACUUUAGGGAUAACAGCGUAAUUUUUUUGGAGAGUUCUUAUUGAUAAAAAAGUUUGCGACCUCGAUGUUGGAUUAAGAGAUAGUUUUAAUGCAGAAGUUAAAAUAUAAAGUCUGUUCGACUUUUAAAUUCUUACAUGAUCUGAGUUCAAACCGGUGUGAGCCAGGUUGGUUUCUAUCUUUAAUUAUUAUAUAAUAUUUUAGUACGAAAGGAAUUUAUAUUAAAAAUUAUUUUUAUAGUAUGAAU